CGCUGGCGGCACGCCUAACACAUGCAAGUCGAACGAAGUAGCAAUACUUAGUGGCAGACGGGUGAGUAACAUGUAGGUAUCUGCCCUUUGGCCUGGAAUAACACGAGGAAACUUGUGCUAAUACCGGAUAAGUCUUUACGGAGAAAGCUUUAUGCACCAUUGGAUGAGCCUGCACUUGAUUAGUUUGUUGGUGGGGUAAUGGCCUACCAAGACUGUGAUCAAUAGCUGAUUUGAGAGGAUGAUCAGCCACAUUGGGACUGAGACACGGCCCAAACUCCUACGGGAGGCAGCAGUGGGGAAUCUUGCACAAUGGAGGAAACUCUGAUGCAGCGAUGCCGCGUGAGUGAAGAAGGCCCUUGGGUUGUAAAGCUCUUUCGUCGGGGAAGAAAAUGACUGUACCCGAAUAAGAAGGUCCGGCUAACUUCGUGCCAGCAGCCGCGGUAAUACGAAGGGACCUAGCGUAGUUCGGAAUUACUGGGCUUAAAGAGUUCGUAGGUGGUUGAAAAAGUUAGUGGUGAAAUCCCAGAGCUUAACUCUGGAACUGCCAUUAAAACUUUUCAGCUAGAGUAUGAUAGAGGAAAGCAGAAUUUCUAGUGUAGAGGUGAAAUUCGUAGAUAUUAGAAAGAAUACCAAUUGCGAAGGCAGCUUUCUGGAUCAUUACUGACACUGAGGAACGAAAGCAUGGGUAGCGAAGAGGAUUAGAUACCCUCGUAGUCCAUGCCGUAAACGAUGUGUGUUAGACGUUGGAAAUUUAUUUUCAGUGUCGCAGCGAAAGCGAUAAACACACCGCCUGGGGAGUA
rnacentral:rRNA from 1 species